UUACCCUGGAGCUGUACAAGUCAUACACAGCUCCAUCAGAGAGAAAACUGGACAGAACCAUUUGACUGAAAAUUCAUGUCCAAGGCCAACAAGAAAGAGCUGAGACACUGCAGAGAGAGAAGGAAUAAAUGAAAGGUAAAGACAAACAGAGACCAGAGGGAGGACUCAAUUACAGACUGAUAGGAGACUCAAGGUAGAAAAUGAAGCUGGACCUGUGGACCUGUGAAGAACUAUUGAAACAGCUGUAGAGGAACUGUACUGGAGGCAGUAAUGGCUCCUUUAGUGGCAGAGAAUAGAAAGCUCUUGAAAACAAAGCCUAUUGUCAGGAGACUUGCACCCAUCCUGGCCUACUUCCAAGUGGAAACAAAAACAGAAACUAAGAUAUCCAUGACACCUAGUGUUAUAAGGAGAUGAAAGAACUUUAAUCAUGAGGGCACUGAGACAAGGUAAUAGACAAAUUUGUGUUCAUAAAACCAGGAAUCUUACUGAUGACUUUCAGAAAAGGUGGACAUACAGAUAAAAAUCAACCUUCUUCUUGGUGAGGAUUUGACCCUGGCUCCAUAUUAACCCCAGAGCUGAUAAGCACAAAACUGGAGUCCAGUUUUUAUGUGAGUGUAACAACUGUGUCACUUCUACCUUGAGUUAUUUGUAUGAACUGGGGAAAUUUUUUUACUCUCUCUGAACCCAUAAUUAAAAAAAUCCAUAUGACUUGGAUAAUAAACCUGCUUCCUAGAAUUUAUAUGCCUAUAAAAUAUGUGUGAAAUACAUAGUACAAUAUUGAUCACAUGGUUUGUGUUUGGUAUGUGGAAGCUAGUAUUGCUAGUAUUGUUGUUUUUAUAAACAAUAGCACUUUUAUCUACACAAUUCUCAAACUUCCCCCCUGAAGCUCAAGAUACUUUAGUACAUUAAUCAUUAUUCUCAAUGCACAGAUUGAGAAAUUGGCAAAACAUAUGCAAGCCCCAGAGUGGAGAAAGAAAAUUCCAGGUGUCCAUAUUCCUUGUCAUGUAGUUUGCCACUGUAAUUCAGUCUUCUACAUGACGAUGACCUUUAUGAGACUGCCUCAGAGUGAUGAAAUUGUUCAACUCAUUGGAGUGGCACCAUCAAAAUGAUCUGAUAAUGUCAACACAAUUGUCCUUGUAACAAGCAGAAGAAUCCUUUCCUUCCGUUUCUGCCUGUAGUUCCAGGGCUACGCGACCCCAGCAAAAAGCAGAAGCAGUGAAGGAACAAUUAUUUGGAAUGAUGCUAAUGGCUGAUGUCUCAGAGGAGGCAAGCACUCUUCUGCAGACAACUUAAUUUCUUGAACUCUCAGCCUUCUUUGGUUUGACUUUGGAUUGUUAACCCUUUAACUGAAACUGUGUCUGACUCACUGUGCCUUUGGAGUAUAAAAUUCCCAGUAUAUCAUCUGCACUGAUUUUAGCUCCUGUUUCACAAGCUGUGCAUCACAGACCUUUGUCUUGCAAUUAUCCAUGCUCUGGAUGACCAACUUCAGCCCUAAAACCAGAAGCAGACUUUUCCAAUCAACUUUUGCAAAUUCAACGGGAAAGAAAGAAGAUAACCAUGUACGCCCUUGGAUGUUACUUCUCUUAGGGGAAAAAGAAAGAAUAUAUAACUUGAUAUUUUUACUGCAGUCUCCCCAAACCUCCCACCCAUUGUGCUGCGAACAUCAUUAUUAAUCCAUAGCUCCUCUGGAAUUUUAUGGCCAUGUUGAAUUCAUUGUCAUCUCCAGAAAAGAACAAAGCAUAGUGUGGGCAAUUUAAAACCAUAUUCAGUUGCUUUAUUUUGGCCAAAAAAUUAAACAUUUUUGUUCUUAAUUUUUUUUUAGCUUGUUAAGUUGUUUGGAGAUCUGCUGUAGAUUACAGGUCUGAGCACAUAGUAUAAUUGUGUGAUGCACACAUGUGUGUAUUCCCUUCCUGCGCACAUACACACACACACACAUACACACACACACACACACACACACACACACAUACACACACACAUUUCAUCAGCAUGUCAGAUUUAUGGAAUUUGAAAUGCUCCUUUUUCUAAAGAAUGGUAUAACAUUUACAUAAAAUAUCAGCUUACAUUUUGUGAAAUUUGACAGAUUACUCAUAAAUCUCUCUUUCUCCCUUAAUCUGUUUUUGACAUGUCCCCGAAAGUUUUGAGAUGGCCUUAGUCAUGUCAAGUAUUUUGUUGACAUCAAUAGGAAUUUUACUUGUGUAAAAAGCCCUGGAUUGGGUUCCCACACACAUGAGGCAGACAAGAAGCAUUCAAAAGUUGCCGGUGAAUAAGAAGUGUCAAAUAAGUGUCCAUCACAAGAGCAAAUAUUCCUGGGUAUCCAUUAACUGUAAUAAACAAAACAUAUUUCGCAGUGUGCUGUUUGACAUGGAUUUACAAAGCAGUUUGCCAAAUCAUUUUUUUCUUGCUUUCUGUGAAAUGUCAGUGAAAGAGGGGGAUGGUGGUUCCAUUAUAAUUAUAUAAUAUUGUAUAAGAAAGAUAGGUUAUUUGAUAUUCAAGAUAUGUAUAGUGCAUAGAAGCAACAAUUUGGCAGGGGAAUUGAUCUUUCACCAAUCUUCUCAGCACUGGCUUAUACAAAGCCAGUCCCACGACUUAUGGCCCCAUUCUCGAGUAAAACACAAUUCAAUAUCUCUUGAUUGAUAUUUAAAAAACUGUUUAAAACAAAUGUUCUUCUAUUUCUGUCUUAGCAUUUAUUUUCGUUUGCAUAUGACUAAGGCUGUUUCUUUUUGGUAAAUUUAAUUUGCUACAGUUUGGCCCCCAGCACUGAAAAAUGGCAUCCUCUGAUGUAUCUGAUAUAGGGCUGCCAACUAUGGCAAGUGGCAUUGCAAAGUAUAUGUUCUGUAUACUUUUCAAACUUCUCAGAUCCAGUCACUGACAUUUGCCUUGAUUAAGGAAACCCUAGGGAUUAGAAAAAUACAAAGCAUACUACUGUACUGACAUGCAAAAUGUCUUAUAAUCUGUCUUUAUCUUUCAUGGCUGCAGGGAUCUGGAUAAAUUAGACCAAAUUGGGCUAAACGCUGUCCUUGGCUACACUCACGUAGCUGUUUUCAGCAGCUAAUAGGAGCUGUGUGUGCACAUCCAAGGAUAGGAUUUGGCCCCUUUUGUCUUUGCACAAACAGUUGCUUUAGUUGAUAUGAUUAUUCCUGAAUGACUAUUUUAAAAGCAGUGUUUUUGCCCAGUUUCAAUCUCUUUUAACUUUAUUCUUCAUAGUCAAGACAUUUAUGAAUAUGGAAACAUGUAACCUAAAAUCUUUGGUUUCUGGAAACAUAAAAAUCUCCACAAUAAAACCUGUGAAAAUUGUGAAUGAAUUGGGAAAGAGGUAAAGCAAGUCAUAUAAACCUUGGCAAAAACAGAAGUAACACUGAGAAAACGUGUUAACACUCAUUAAUGGUAACUAUCUGAUUAAAAUUUUUAUAGCACAUUGAUCCUUGGCCUUUUGAAAGGGGAAUCUGCCACUAAAUAAUAUUUUUAAGGAAAAUAC